rnacentral:rRNA from 1 species
UACAGAGGAGCCAAGCGUUGUCUGGAUUGACUGGGCGUAAAGCGCACGCAGGCGGAUGCGCGCGUGGGGUGUGAAAUCUGGCCGCUUAACGGCCAGGCGCCAUCCCAUACGGCGCGUCUGGAGUGAUGCAGAGGUCGAUGGAAUUGCCGGUGUAGUGGUGAAAUGCGUAGAGAUCGGCAGGAACACCCAGGGGGAAACCAGUCGACUGGGCAUCUACUGACGCUGAGGUGCGAGAGCGUGGGGAGCGAACCGG